CGCGCGUUGAACAGGAAGUGCGCGGCGUGCGGCGCCACUGUCCCACUCCACGCCGCCCACGCUGCCCCCGGGUGGUCGCCGUGCGCUCUCGGUCUCAAGAUUCGUCAAAGAUUGCGCAACAAACCUUGAUCUUCAGCAAAGGCGCUCUCAUCUCAGUAAAUGCUGAAGUCCUAAGACCACAGGAGGAAAUGGGUGCAUCGGAGCCUGAAACCAGGGCGAACAUGCCACGUGCUUCCCCCGAUCUUCAGAGACACUGGCUGCUGGUCUGGUACUGCGGGCUGCUCAGGGCUCUGGUGUUCCUCGCAGCAGCACGACCUUGGCUUCUGGUCUGAGUGGGGGCGGGGGGGGGGGUGCCUCCUCUCCUGCUCAGAAUUGAAGACCAGAUGACCCCAAAGAUUACCCCAUCAGCCCACCUGCUCCCUGUCAACACUAAUAUACGGACACUACCUGUAGAAUAAACAUGUUAGGGGUCCCUUUGACGAAGACAUGAUGGUCAAGGGGGUAAGGAGGUGGCCCUGCCCCUCUUCCUGCUCCCCCACCGUAGAGGAUGUGGUUACCACUUUACAACCAUGAUUUAGGGAAGGACCUGUUUGUGCCAUGAGAGACAACCUGGGUUCAGCUGUCUCCUGGGUUUCCACGUUACCAGCCUAGUUCCUGCAAAUUAGGUAAAACCCUACAGCUGGGGUGGGGUGGGGGUUCCUUGGUUCAUCAGGUAGGUUCGUAUACAUCCUGCUACCACACUUUCAAACCGAGAAUGAAGUACACCUCCUCCCCAGAGCCCCCGGCCAGUGUCCCUAAGCAGCUCCUGAAGGGUCUUCUGAAGGAUCCACUCAAGCAGUUGUCCUACCCGGCCUCAACACCCUCCUCCCCAACCUGGCUCCUCACUAAAGGACUCCCGGGACCCCAAAAGACAUCAUUCUACUGAGGGUUCAGAUUGCUUCUUAGAAGCAGAAGUGAGGCCGGGCAGUGGUGGCGCACACCUGUAAUCCCAGCACUCUGGGAGGCAGAGGCAGGCAGAUUUCUGAGUUCAAGGCCAGCCUGGUCUACAAAGUGAGUUCCAGGACAGCCAGGGCUACACAGAGAAAUCCUGUAUAGAAAAAAACAAAAAAGAAGCAGAAGUGGGAGGUUUGGAGGGACACAAUAUCAGUGGCUAAGAAGGCCACCCUCAGCCACUAAAAUAAUAAUAAAACAAUCACUCUAGGACUGUCAA